UACGUAGGGGUCGAGCGUUGUCCGGAGUUACUGGGCGUAAAGCGCGCGCAGGCGGCGCGAUAAGACCGGCGUGAAAGCCCCCCGGCUCAACCGGGGAGGGUCGUUGGUGACUGUCGCGCUUGAAGGCAGCAGGGGUGAGUGGAAUUCCAGGUGUAGCGGUGAAAUGCGUAGAUAUCUGGAGGAACACCGGUGGCGAAGGCGGCAUCCUGGACCGGCAUUGACGCUGAGGCGCGAAAGCCAGGGGAGCAAACGGG
rnacentral:rRNA from 1 species